rnacentral:rRNA from 1 species
UGGGGAAGUAUUGCGUCAAUGGGCAGGAAGCCAUGACCGCAGCGACGCCGCGUGAGGGAUGAAGGCCUUCGGGUUGUAAACCUCUUUCAGCAGGGAAGAAGCGAAAGUGACGGUACCUGCAGAAGAAGCACCGGCUAACUACGUGCCAGCAGCCGCGGUAAUACGUAGGGUGCAAGCGUUGUCCGGAAUUAUUGGGCGUAAAGAGCUCGUAGGCGGUUUGUCGCGUCUGCUGUGAAAAUCCAGGGCUUAACCCUGGACCUGCAGUGGGUACGGGCAGACUAGAGUGCGGUAGGGA